rnacentral:rRNA from 1 species
AGCCGCGGUAAUACGGAGGAUCCGAGCGUUAUCCGGAUUUAUUGGGUUUAAAGGGAGCGUAGGCGGACGCUUAAGUCAGUUGUGAAAGUUUGCGGCUCAACCGUAAAAUUGCAGUUGAUACUGGGUGUCUUGAGUACAGUAGAGGCAGGCGGAAUUCGUGGUGUAGCGGUGAAAUGCUUAGAUAUCACGAAGAACUCCGAUUGCGAAGGCAGCUUGCUGGACUGUAACUGACGCUGAUGCUCGAAAGUGUGGGUAUCAAACAGGAUUAGAUACCCUGGUAGUCCACACAGUAAACGAUGAAUACUCGCUGUUUGCGAUAUACAGUAAGCGGCCAAGCGAAAGCAUUAAGUAUUCCACCUGGGGAGUACGCCGGCAACGGUGAAACUCAAAGGAAUUGACGGGGGCCCGCACAAGCGGAGGAACAUGUGGUUUAAUUCGAUGAUACGCGAGGAACCUUACCCGGGCUUAAAUUGCAAAGGAAUAAUCUGGAAACAGAUUAGUCUUCGGACCUUUGUGAAGGUGCUGCAUGGUUGUCGUCAGCUCGUGCCGUGAGGUGUCGGCUUAAGUGCCAUAACGAGCGCAACCCUUGUUGUCAGUUACUAACAGGUUCCGCUGAGGACUCUGACAAGACUGCCAUCGUAAGAUGUGAGGAAGGUGGGGAUGACGUCAAAUCAGCACGGCCCUUACGUCCGGGGCUACACACGUGUUACAAUGGGCGGUACAGAAGGCAGCUACCUGGCGACAGGAUGCCAAUCCCUAAAGCCGCUCUCAGUUCGGACUGGAGUCUGCAACCCGACUCCACGAAGCUGGAUUCGCUAGUAAUCGCGCAUCAGCCACGGCGCGGUGAAUACGUUCCCGGGCCUUGUACACACCGCCCGUCAAGCCAUGAAAGCCGGGGGUACCUGAAGUGCGUAACCGCAAGGAGCGCCCUAGGGUAAAACCGGUAAUUGGGGCUAAGUCGUAACAAGGUAGCCGUACCGGAAGGUGCGGCUG